AUUGAACGCUGGCGGCAUGCCUUACACAUGCAAGUCGAACGGCAGCAUGAUCUAGCUUGCUAGAUUGAUGGCGAGUGGCGAACGGGUGAGUAAUACAUCGGAACGUGCCCUGUAGUGGGGGAUAACUAGUCGAAAGAUUAGCUAAUACCGCAUACGACCUGAGGGUGAAAGUGGGGGACCGCAAGGCCUCAUGCUAUAGGAGCGGCCGAUGUCUGAUUAGCUAGUUGGUGAGGUAAAGGCUCACCAAGGCGACGAUCAGUAGCUGGUCUGAGAGGACGAUCGGCCACACUGGGACUGGGACACGGCCCAGACUCCUACGGGAGGCAGCAGUGGGGAAUUUUGGACAAUGGGCGAAAGCCUGAUCCAGCAAUGCCGCGUGUGUGAAGAAGGCCUUCGGGUUGUAAAGCACUUUUGUCCGGAAAGAAAUGGCUCUGGUUAAUACCUGGGGUCGAUGACGGUACCGGAAGAAUAAGGACCGGCUAACUACGUG
rnacentral:rRNA from 1 species